rnacentral:lncRNA from 1 species
GUUAUGCUGCCAUCCCAGAAGAGGGCUCUGUUCCUCGACCCAAUGGGGGAAAGUGCCGGAAAGAUAAAAAGAUGCCAGGUCAAGGUCAUUUUACAAUGGAAUGAAUAGUCUUCGAAAUGCUAUGCUGUUAUUUACCUCUAUAUUGUAAUCAAUAAAGUGUUUCAAAAUGCUGUACUUGUAUUAACAUAUAUGUUCAGAUCAUUCCUGAGAGAGAAGGGGGGUAAAAUCUCCAAAUGGGCGUGUGGUACCCUUCCUCACCCAUGCCAACAAGAGGCUACUUCUUGUGGAGUCUUUGCCUUGAAAAUUGGUUGUGACUGCUGCCCACGAUGGUUUAACCAGUCCUGUAUGAAAACCAUCCCAUAAUUGGAGGAUUAUGUCUGCGCUGCCUGUCAGGACUAGGUUAGCCUUGAGUUCCAGGCGACGGUAUCACCUGGAAAACUUUCCAUAAAAAGUGGACUAAAUGUUCAGUCAAGCUGUUGCAGCUUUCCAAUAUUUGUUUGUUAUUUAUUGUGUUUUUAUAUUUGAUUUAUUGUCAUUUUAUAUCUUAUUAUGCAAAGAUCGAAAUAUGUGUUUCUUAUUUAAUGUUUGUUUACAAACUUCACUUUCUGUGAUGUUUUUGUGUUAUUGGGUGAUAAUAUUUGUGUAUUAUCUUUAUUUUAAACAUUACAAAAUGUUUCUAAAAUAAAUGUUUAUGUUUCUUUAUACUCUAAUAAUGCUUUCUGUGGCACACACCACUGGUCAACAUGAGUAACCAAAAUGAUUCUGAAGUGUGCCAGGCCUUGCUGUCCCAAGACAGAAGGGGAGGGGAGAAUUUUGGCAGGCAAGAAAAUAGCCUUGCCCCCCCUUCAAGUCGCAGUAAUGAAGAAUUGACGCAGCUGCUGCGAGUCAUGUCAUCACGGGUCAUGGUGACCGACCUAAACAUCAAUCCACUGCAGGUUCUGGAGAACUACUAUGUGUGCAGGUUUUCUUCCCAGUCCAGUACUUAUCUCGUCCACCUGCGGCUCUCUCACAAUCAUACCUGGGGAGGUGGUUCGCCCAGCACUAAUCAAAAUCGUGCUGAUGCAUCCUGGGACACACACGCUGGACAUGCUGAACUGCAGAGUGUCUGACUCUGCCCACCGACAAAUCCGGUGUCCGCUGCUCUGGAGGAUCUGUCUGCAGGGCUACCCGUGCAUCGCCUCAGAGGGUACUUAUUUGUCAUGCCCUGAUCUGUUUCACCUGUCUUUGUGAUUGUCUCCACCCACCUACAGGUGUCACCCGCUUUCCCUAUUAGUCCCUGGGUAUUUAUUCCAGUGUUCCCUGUUUGUCUGUUGCCAGUUCGUUUUGUCAAGUCAACCAGCGUUCUUUUCCAUGCUCCUGCUAUUUAUUAUCUCUCUUUUGCAGUCCUCCCGGUUUUGACACUUGCCUGCCUUGACUCUGAACCCGCCUGCCUGACCAUACUGCCUGCCCUGACCUCGAGCCUGCCUGCCACUUUGUACCUCCAUCUCUCUGACCUUAUGCCGGUCCAUAGCUAUUCUCUUGCCUGCCCCUUCGAUUAUAAUAAAUAUCAGAGACUCAAACCAUCUGCCUCCCAUGUAUCUGCAUCUCGCCCUUAUACUUAUUAACUACCAAAAGUAACCAUAUCUGUGUUUAAAAAUAUAGUUUGUAUAUACUUUGUAAAAUGUUUUACAACGUUUACUAUUCUGUUUGUCAGCACCUCUGCCAACAUUAUCUAGUGUGCAAUAGCUCAUGUUUUUACUGUAUUGUAAUUGUAUUGUAAACAGAGGUGGCCAAUACAAUUACAAUAAUUUACUAUACAACACUAUGACAAUGUAAUGUAAUACAAUUACAUAGCGCUCUACAACUUAAAUUAUGAUUUGUUGGUUCUCUGGGUUCAUCCUGUCAUCUGCAUAGGGGUUGUUGUCUUAACCCCAACCUGGCUUAGUUUCACAGAUGCCAGGAUGAUUUAGAGACAAUGAAGGAUUAUUCUAAACUCUUUCUGGCUAUCUCUAUCUCGGUUACACCCACCACAUCUUGUCUAUGGAAUGCAGUUUUUAACUCAUGUGUCAGCUCAAGCCAUCUCUAGUGACAAUACACCCAGAUUAGCUGCAGGGAUUGGACACCAUAAAGACACAGCAUUAGUAGAACAGAAAUAUCUUACUAUUAGUUAAAUAUGAAUUGUUAACCAUUAAUAUCAAAUAAAUGAAGUAAAUACUUAAUUUCUCUCACAACAUGUUCUCUGGAGUGACGAAUCACGCUUCACCAUCUCGCAGUCCAAUGGACAAAUCUGGGUUUGGUGGAUGCCAGAAGAACGCUGCCCGAAUGCAUUGUGGCAACUGUAAAGUUUGGUGGAUGAGAAAUAAUUAUCUGUGGCUGUGCAUUCGGGCAGGUAGCAUUCUCCUGGAAUCCGCCAAACCCAGAUUUGUCCAUCGCACUGUCAGAUGGUGAAGAGUGAUUAGUCACUCCAGAGAACGUGUUGCCACUGCUCCAGAGUCCAAUGGCGCCGAGUUUUACACCAUUCCAGCUGACACUUGGCAUUGCGUAAGGUGAUCAUAGGCUUGUGUAUGGCUGCUCAGCCAUGGAAACCCAUUUCAUAAUGCUCCUGACGUACAGUUAUUGUACUGACGUUGCUUCCAGAGGCAGUUUGGAACUCCGGUAGUGAGUGUUGCAACUGAGGACAGACAAUUUCUACUCGCUACAAGCUUCAGCACUCGGAGGUCUCGUUCUGUAAGCUUGUGUGGCCUACCACUUUGUGGCUGAGCCGUUGUUGCUCCUAGACAUUUCCACUUCACAAUUACAGCACUUACAGCACUUACAGUUGACUGGGGCAGCUCUUGCAGGGCAGAAAUAUGACGAACUGACUUGUUGGAAAGGUGGCAUCCUAUGACGGUGCCACUUUGAAAGUCAGAGCUCUUCAGUAAGGCCAUUCUGUUGCAAAUGUUUGUCUAUGGAGAUUGCUUGACUGUGUGCUCGUUUUUAUAUACCUGCCAGCGACGGGUGUGGCUGAAAUAGCCAAAUCCACUCAUUUGAAACGGUGUCCACAUACUUUUGUAUAUUUGGUGUAUAGCUGGUUAGUGCUUGUCCCCUGGCCAGUAUAUUGCCCAGAAUGUAAGAGACGGGCCACAGUUCUGGUCUUGUAUUCUAAAACCAACAAUUUGGAGUGAGCAGUCUGAAAUGCAUUUCUGUGGUUAAGUAAUGCUUACUUACUAUUGCAGCGUUUUCUAUAAUAAAGUUAUUUCUAUCAUUAUCCGAGCCAAAGCCUUGAAGGUAUCUAUUUGUACUAGUGCAAAGUGCUUUGCAAAUUUUCAUGUAACCGUUGACUUUCAGGUACAAAACUCCAAAAUGCUUGGUUAACAUUACCUGCGCUGAAGACACCUAUAUUCGUCUGCUAAAUAAGGACUAGCAAUGGCCCAGUGCAGUGCUUUUUGUGGGAAAAAAAUGUAAACUAAAUGUAUUGGCGUGUUUGCUAGCAUUUGUAACUUGAGUCUGAUAAUUAUCUGUACAAAACAGUUAGUCUAAUGAUACUUGUCGUACUCUAGAUGGCACGGUAUAAUUAACUUGACAAUGGAGACUGAUGUACUAUAACUUUUGGCUUUAAAUCUGAAGGGUGGCAAGAAUUGUCACUGUGCGCACUUCAAACUGAAAGACCGCUCAUUAACAUAUCCCCUUGACCUUCAACCUCAAGAGUGAUACUGAUUGGCUGUUAAACAUGGGAGUUAUGGACUAUCAUUAAAGGUGUAUAGCUCCAUAUAUUACACUUGUGGAAUAUAAAAAUACUUGCUUGAUAUGUUGGAUGUUUUAAAGAAACACCCCUCAAGAUAAGAGUGGAGCUGAAUGGAGAGCGAGAACUUUCUCUGCUGAGUUUAUAAAACUGUAAAGAGUGUUUUAUGUACAAUUGUCAACUAAAUUAGAUAAACUUCACUUUUUCAAUAGUAGUAAAAUCAAUCUGUUCUUUUGUUUUUUGAUAUGCAGUCUCUCCCUACUCAAGUGCUGUUGGGGUAUAUAAACUACAGAGUCAGAGAAUUUAUCCCAAGACCAAUGCAGUGUGAUAAUUGUAAAGAUGUUGGUCAUGUAGCAAGUGUUUGCAGAAGGGAGAAGCUGAGAUGUCCAAGUUUUGGAAAGGAUCAUAUUAUUUGAUAUAAAACUGUCCAGUUAGUGGUAGCAAUACAACUUUUUGGGUGUAGUUUGCCAUAAAACCCACAGAAGAAAAAGAAGAAGCUCUUCUAGUGGUGGUGUAGGAGGAGCUCCAUAGAAACCUUUGCAUACUAAGGUUGUGAUUUUCUUUCAGUUUCAGAUGUCAGAGUCACAGCACCAACAACAGUCACUCAAGGUAAUUUCCAUUUCAAACGUACAAUAGGUUUUAGGUUGAGGACAUUAACAAGUGCUUGUUGCGUGUGAUUUGUUUUAUAGCCUGCUUCCUGCUUUUGAGAACAAUGCCUUUUACUCAAACCAUUCAUCGAAAGUUCUCACUAGUGUGUCUGUCUCCUCUGAAAGGCGAGAACCUCUGAUUGUCAUUGAAAGAUGCUGGCAAGUGUGAAAAUAAUACAACCAAUCGACAGAUGUAACUCAUAUUAGUGAUAUGGGGGCUCUAUAGCCCAUUCAAUAGACGGUAAACAUAUAUCGUCUAUUCACGAAGCUGUCUGCUGCCUGAGGGAAAUUCCCCGAAGCUGCACAAAUGCUCUGUCUAAACGUCUGUACGCCUCGCUUGCAAUCCACCCCAAAACUAUGUUUUUGUAUUUGGUUCUUUAGUCCGUUGUUGACAUAGUCCCACAAUGUUUAGCUUGUCAGCAAUCAAGUUUUCAAGAUAUCUAACUUUCAAAAUACAGAAAUCAUCCCUGUAUGUUCACCUGUGUGUAACUGAAAAAUACUGUCAGCUGCAACUGGGUUAAAACAGUUUACAGUAAGUGUAUAUUUUGCUUUUCUGAAAUUAUUUUUGGUGUGAUAUGGAGGUAAAGUAGUUCGCAGAGAUCCAGCUGUGGUCCAUACGUUCUGCUGAGAACCCAAGACGGAAAGCUGUUAACCCCCCUUGGGUUCUCGAGAGCAAGGCAGUCUAUUGAAAUGAGCUGCUUACGAAUUAUUUCCUUGUCAGCACUUGUUAUUCAGUUACCUCCUAGAGGCAAUAUGAAAAACAGUUUAGGUUGUAGAAUUACAGUUCUGUGAUUUUUGGAAUGGCUAAGACAGAUGCUAUUGCUUUGAAUGAUCCUAAGCAGGGUUUGCCAGCCAACACAAAGGGGUAGCUACAUCAUAUCCAUGACAUCACCAGCAAUUUUCUCCAUUAGAAUACCCAUUGAAAGUGCAUUGUAGUCCAGGACUUGGCUUAACCUGGGUCUGGGGAAUCAGACCUUAUUGUUUGUCAUAACUACUGCUGUUCAUUUGUCAUUGAUUGCUCAACUGAACAUGACUUCAAAAUCAAGGCCAAAUGAAAUGCACUUCCCUCAGCUUUCACAAGAGCUUAAAAACUGCACAUUAGUCUCACAUCGGAUGUGUCUCGGAGAUAAGCAAGUUUCCCUUCCUCUGCUUGACUAAUGUUCGAAAGACAUUAACUGACAUUACUCAGUGCCAAAGUAGCUAUGGAAAUAAGAAGUUAUGGUUACAAAUGACCAGAAAACCUGAUGUAUCCAUUUCGGAUUUUAUUAUUUAUGUAAUUAGGUGGUAACAAUGCCUUCCCUGCGUGCACACACACACACAUACACACACACAUAUAAUGUCUAGCUGAAGAGAGAGAGGCGUCUCCAGAACUUGUAUGACUGUUGUGAUUUUUUUAGUUGUUAUAUAUAAUAAGGCAAGUCAGUUAAGAACAAAUUCUUAUUUACAAUGACGGCCUACCAAAAGGCCUCCUGCGGGGACUGGGGAUUAAAUAUAUUUUUUACAUU